GCACAUGCGCAGCAAUCCUAUCCCAGAAAGCUCUGCUGGAGGAACAUCCGCACGCACGAAUUUGAGAAACAGCCUGAAAAGCUAACUAAUAAUCAUGUCGGACAAGAAACCAACCGUGGAUUUGGGACUGUUGGAGGAGGAUGAUGAGUUUGAAGAAUUUCCUGCAGAGGAUUGGACCGGACUGGAUGAGGAUGAGGACACCCAUGUCUGGGAAGACAACUGGGAUGACGACAACGUAGAGGAUGACUUCUCAAACCAACUCAGGGCGGAGUUGGAGAAGCAUGGGUACAAGAUGGAGACGUCAUAGCUUCAGCACCUGUGAUGGAUAAUACAUGGACUUUUGAAAAUGUGCCUGUUUUAGGCUUUGUGUUGGAUGGGUGGCUCACUGCCACCUGUUAGUCCACAGUUUGGUUACACCUUCCAAGACCCAUGCACGAAGCCGAGGGCGUUCAGUUGGGUUGUUUUCUUUUUUUUAUGUCUUUCUGUGGAAAUACAGUUUAUAAAUUCUGAUAUUAAAACUGCUCAGUGCAUUUCCUGA